GAACGCUAGCUACAGGCUUAACACAUGCAAGUCGAGGGGAAACGAUAUUGGAAGCUUGCUUCCGAUAGGCGUCGACCGGCGCACGGGUGAGUAACGCGUAUCCAACCUGCCCAUCACUUGGGGAUAACCUUGCGAAAGUAAGACUAAUACCCAAUGAUAUCUCUAGAAGACAUCUGAAAGAGAUUAAAGAUUUAUCGGUGAUGGAUGGGGAUGCGUCUGAUUAGCUUGUUGGCGGGGUAACGGCCCACCAAGGCGACGAUCAGUAGGGGUUCUGAGAGGAAGGUCCCCCACAUUGGAACUGAGACACGGUCCAAACUCCUACGGGAGGCAGCAGUGAGGAAUAUUGGUCAAUGGACGAGAGUCUGAACCAGCCAAGUAGCGUGCAGGAUGACGGCCCUAUGGGUUGUAAACUGCUUUUAUAAGGGAAUAAAGUGAGUCUCGUGAGGCUUUUUGCAUGUACCUUAUGAAUAAGGACCGGCUAAUUCCGUG
rnacentral:rRNA from 1 species